UUAGGAAUCUUCCACAAUGGGCGAAAGCCUGAUGGAGCGACGCCGCGUGAGGGAUGAAGGCCUUAGGGUUGUAAACCUCUAAAAGAGGGACGAUAAUGACGGUACCUCUUGAAUAGCACCGGCUAACUCCGUGCCAGCAGCCGCGGUAAUACGGAGGGUGCAAGCGUUAUCCGGAAUCACUGGGCGUAAAGGGCGCGUAGGAGGUCUGUUAAGUCCGAUGUUAAAUCCCGGGGCUCAACCCCGGAUAAGCGUUGGAUACUGGCAGGCUAGACGGUUGGAGAGGCGAGUGGAAUUACCAGUGUAGCGGUGGAAUGCGUAGAUACUGGUAGGAACACCCAUUGCGAAGGCAGCUCGCUGGACAACACGUGACGCUGAGGCGCGAAAGUGUGGGGAGCAAACC
rnacentral:rRNA from 1 species